rnacentral:tRNA from 2 species
CUCCCCUUGGUGUAGUUGGUUUAUCACGUUCGACUGUAAUGGUUACAUUGUCAUCGAAAGGUCUCUAGUUCGAUUCUGGAAGGGGAGA